rnacentral:rRNA from 1 species
GACGUAGGGCGCGAGCGUUGUCCGGAUUUAUUGGGCGUAAAGAGCUCGUAGGCGGCCUGUCGCGUCUGCUGUGAAAACUCGGGGCUUAACCCCGGGCCUGCAGUGGGUACGGGCAGACUAGAGUGCGGUAGGGGAGACUGGAAUUCCUGGUGUAGCGGUGAAAUGCGCAGAUAUCAGGAGGAACACCGGUAGCGAAGGCGGGUCUCUGGGCCGUAACUGACGCUGAGGAGCGAAAGCGUGGGGAGCGAACAGG